ensembl:lncRNA
GUGGUGAACUUGGAGAGUUCUCUCAGCCGUGGAGAGCUCCAUCCUAGCGCCCCUGAUGCUGGUGAAUGUGUGGGAAGAGGGGUCUGGAACCGGGCCCUCCUGGGGUUCCAGGUCCUCCCCAGGUCCUCCCAGGAUCUCCGAGCCAGCCCACUCUUUGCUUCCCGGGCACCCCCCGCAAUGUGCUCUGCAUACAGCUGGCACUCAGUAAAAGCUUGCAGUGUUUCUGUGGUGGAGGGCGGUUCCAUCGCAUACUGUGGCGCUUCAGGGCCCUGUGUGGGCUGCCGCCUCCUGCCCCCACCUGCACCCUCCUGCCAGAAGGUGGCCUUGGGAGGGGCGGGGUCCUGGGGGUGGUCCCCCCAGACUCAGGCAGAACGUUAGGCUGGGGUGCAGGGGCAAGGGGUGCUGUCCCCUUGGGGCCUGCAGGGACCUGGCAGCAAAUGGGGGUCAGCUCUGAAACCACACAUCACCGUGGAGGGCCAUGAGCAGCCUAGAGGGUUGGAACAAGCCUCCUGUAUCUGGGGUCUGGGAUCUUGGCAGCAGCUGCCCCUUCUGCACGUCACAGGGAUGGGCUGGGAGUGGGCGGGAGCCUGGCACAGCCGUGGAGAACUGGCGACCACCAGGUCCCUCGGAUCAGGUCCAGCGGAGCGCCACCUCCCACCGCGGAGCCCCGCACAGGCCCUGCCAGGCCCCGAGGUCCCAGGAGCCAGAGGCCCCAGGGCCCCCCAGAGCCACCUCGUCGUUGCCCACUGCAGUGCUUCCUCUGGGCGCUCCCGCAGCCAGACGUGCAGGGAGCUCACCGCCGCCCGCCCCAGCCCGGCCCAGCAUCCCAGGCAAGCGCGCGCCUUGAUCAGCGCGACCGGAGCAAGGUGGCAGGCGCGGGAGGCACCGGGGAUGCAGACGUUGGCCAGCAGGUGGCGCGCGUCGCCCGCACAGCCGCCCAGAGGGAAGUCUGCGCAUGUGCACUCCUGCGCCGGGGCGUGGGCGGACCUGAUCGGGGGCGUGGCUCAGCGAGUGAGUCACGCCCCCUCGGACUCCUCCCCGCGUGGGCGUGGCUUGAGUGGACCUCGCCCUCCCGGAGAUCCGCGGGGUCUGCGCCGGCCUCAGGGCCCCCGCAAGCGGGUGCGGGGUCAGUCCGAAGGCGUCUCGCCGUCCCCUGACCCCGCCUGUCUCCGCAUCGCGGCGCUGUGCCAGAUUUGAAGGACAUUUGGCCUAAGAAGACACACAGACGCAGCUGAGCACGCGCACGUGAGAGGUGAGCACGCGCACGUGAGAGGUGAGCACGCGCACGUGAGAGGUGAGCACGCGCACGUGGGACCCGCCGCCUGUGUAGGGGCUGAAACUUGAGAGCCACGUGCUGGCAGGAUGUGGAGGAGCCGGAAAGCUCAUCCCUGGUGGGCGGGGUUGCGGUGGUGGGGCCGCCCUGGUGGGGCCGCCCUGGAGAGCACUUUGGCUUGAGAAUUCCAACAGACGCCGACUGUACAAUCCAGCCAUGCCCCGCGUCUACCCGAGAGAAACAGGAGCACGUGGCCGCCUGACACCAGACACACCUGUUCCAGCAGCUCCGUUUGUAAGGAUCACAAACCAGAAGCCUCCCAGUGGCCCCCAGUGGGGGAUGGAGGAGCAGACAGGCUCACCCAAACCAGGACGACUGCUCGGCGACAAGAUGGAGCCAAUGACUGGGUCGAACUACAACGUGGAGGAAUCUCAAAACAUUUCACUCAAAAAGCUGAGUGAAAGAAGCCAGACCAAAAAAGUACACAGCGCACGAUACCAUUUACGUAAAAUUCUAGAAAAUGCAAAUGGAUCUGUGGUGACUGAGAGCAGGCCUGCAGCUGCUGCAGGCUUGGGACAGGUCGUUCCCAAAGAGGCAAAGGACACUUCUGGGGACAGAGGAAGCGACUGCCGUCCUGGAAGGUGGUGACGUUCUCACGGGUGUGUGCUUGGGUCAAAGCUGAUCAAACG